GCGUUCAUAGCUCAGUUGGUUAGAGCACCACCUUGACAUGGUGGGGGUCGUUGGUUCGAGUCCAAUU
rnacentral:tRNA from 5 species